CCUACGGGAGGCAGCAGUGAGGAAUAUUGGUCAAUGGACGAGAGUCUGAACCAGCCAAGUAGCGUGAAGGAUGACUGCCCUAUGGGUUGUAAACUUCUUUUAUAAAGGAAUAAAACGAGGCACGUGUGCCUUUUUGCAUGUACUUUAUGAAUAAGGAUCGGCUAACUCCGUGCCAGCAGCCGCGGUAAUACGGAGGAUCCGAGCGUUAUCCGGAUUUAUUGGGUUUAAAGGGAGCGUAGAUGGGUUGUUAAGUCAGUUGUGAAAGUUUGCGGCUCAACCGUAAAAUUGCAAUUGAUACUGGCAGUCGUGAGUACAGUUGAGGUAGGCGGAAUUCGUGGUGUAGCGGUGAAAUGCUUAGAUAUCACGAAGAACCCCGAUUGCGAAGGCAGCUUACUAACCUGUGACUGACAUUGAUGCUCGAAAGUGUGGGUAUCAAACAGGAUUAGAUACCCGAGUAGUC
rnacentral:rRNA from 1 species